UACGGAGGAUCCAAGCGUUAUCCGGAAUCAUUGGGCUUAAAGGGUGCGUAGGCGGGUUAAUAAGUCAGGGGUGAAAGUCUGCAGCUCAACUGUAGAAUUGCCUUGGAUACUGUUAGACUUGAGUAAUUAUGAAGUGGUUAGAAUAUGUAGUGUAGCGGUGAAAUGCAUAGAUAUUACAUAGAAUACCGAUUGCGAAGGCAGAUCACUAAUAAUUCACUGACGCUGAGGGGCGAAAGCGUAGGUAGCGAACAGG
rnacentral:misc_RNA from 1 species